rnacentral:rRNA from 1 species
GACGAACGCUGGCGGCGUGCUUAACACAUGCAAGUCGAACGGAAAGGCCCUGCUUGCAGGGUACUCGAGUGGCGAACGGGUGAGUAACACGUGGGUGAUCUGCCCUGCACUUCGGGAUAAGCUUGGGAAACUGGGUCUAAUACCGGAUAGGAACCAUCUUUAGUGUGGUGGUUGGAAAGUUUUUUCGGUGUAGGAUGAGCUCGCGGCCUAUCCGCUUGUUGGUGGGGUAAUGGCUUACCAAGGCGGCGCCGGGUAGCCGGCCUGAGAGCGUGUACGGCCACAUGGGGACUGAGAAACGGGCCAGACUCCUACGGGAGGCAGCAGUGGGGAAUAUUGCACAAUGGGCGCAAGCCUGAUGCAGCGACGCCGCGUGGGGGAUGAAGGCCUUCGGGUUGUAAACUCCUAUCGCUAGGGACGAAGCUUUGUUGUGACGGUACCUAGAUAAGAAGCACCGGCUAACUACGUG